CUCUCUCCCCGUGGGGAGGCGCGGAGUCCGCCAGCACCCGGGGCCCGGGCAGAUGGCGGGGGCUGCGGCAGCGGCUCGCCGGGUCCCUGGCCGCGCAGACGGGCUCCGCCUAAGGGCGAGUGGCCACGCAGGAGCGCCCCCUUCCCGGAGGGCGCGUUCUGCAGUCACCAAACGGCCCCCGAGACCCCCGCAGCCGGAAAGGCUGGCGCCGCGGGACUCCAGGCGCCCGGGAACCCACCGCCAGCCACUAGUCCUGUCCCACGGCGCGGGAACAAAGCCAGGCGGGUGCCCGGGAGCCGGCCCCGCAAGCCCGGGGACUGGACGCGACCGGGACAGGCAGAGACGCUCGCGCCGCCUCGACGGCCCCUCUCCAGGAAAACGACUCGCCCUGAAUUCUUUCUUGUGUGAAAUCCAAGAGCCCUCUCUUGGGGUUGGAUCGGGACCCUGUUCCUGUAACAAGUCCACAAUGCCAGAGAAUUAAAGAGAACCACAAAGCUGAACCUCAAAAAGUUAGCCUGGCGAGGGGAGGAUGAUGAGAUUUCCCCUGUUGUCACAUAAACAAGGAAGUAAAGGGGGCCCCUUGUGCUCUCAGAACUCCAAGCAUGAAACGAUAGCAAAGGGAAAAACAGCUAAGUGUUUCCUGGCUGAAUUUUAUUUUGCUUUCAGUUUCUGCCAUUUCAGUUCCUGUUAUCGUGCUUUGAGGUGCACUGAACUGCAGCAAACCCAGGGGAUCCAAGGCUACGUUGAAAAGCCUUUGACCACAGUGCAGGGAGCAGAAGACAUUAAUGACGUGAUGUCGACACAGCCCGCACUCAGGAUCCUCCAGGAAAAGAACACAGAGAUAACCCCGGAUCGAUGGUACUUUUUGAAAAUGCUUUAUUGCAAAAGAGUGGCUAGGGUUUUACAAGGGCUAUGAAGAAACAUAUUAAGGUUAAUAAAGCUUUUUAUUGAGUGUUUA